rnacentral:rRNA from 1 species
UACGAAGGGGGCUAGCGUUGCUCGGAAUCACUGGGCGUAAAGGGCGCGUAGGCGGACUUUUAAGUCGGGGGUGAAAGCCCAGGGCUCAACCCUGGAAUUGCCUUCGAUACUGAGAGUCUUGAGUUCGGAAGAGGUUGGUGGAACUGCGAGUGUAGAGGUGAAAUUCGUAGAUAUUCGCAAGAACACCAGUGGCGAAGGCGGCCAACUGGUCCGAUACUGACGCUGAGGCGCGAAAG